rnacentral:snoRNA from 1 species
ACGACCUUACUUGAACAGGAUCUGUUCUAUAGGCUCGUACCGUUGCAUCCUUUACCAAUAAGGAGGCAAGCUCUCAAGUCUGGUUGAUGCCGACAUAACCUCCGGGCCAGAGCGUGAUUUAACGGCUAGGAUUCAUGUUUGAGCCAUCCGACGGCUGCAGAGGAUCGUUCCUGCCUGGUUCACUCCGGUGCAGGGUGGCCCAGAGGUUGUCUGACAGACA